CAAACGGCUGAAAUAUACAUCAUUGACCCGUCGGGAUUUUGGGCUCUCAUCCAGUUGCUUACCUAUUGUGUUAAAAAACUGACUAAUAGCCUCGACAUUCUCCUCUGCAGGGCAUAUUUUAGGGUCAGGCCCCAACAGCUCCAGAACAAUAUGGUGAACAAUCUUUUCAGGCACCAUCUUCUGUUUCAGAAGCUCACCUAUCAGGCGAAUGUUUCCUAGAGUUCGAAGCUUAACCAUUCUUUCUUUAUCUCUUCUUUCCGUUUCCUGCUCAGGACUAGUCAUCUGCCUGAUUUCUGCCCUCAUGUUAUCAGCACCUUCAAAUGCCUCUUGGCAAAUAUUUAAGAGAACACGUUUAAAAGUGAUAUCUUUCUCUCCAGGCACUUCGGAUGGAAAUGAAGGAAGCUUCUCGUUGAGGUCAGAGCACAAAAGUGCAUACAUAGGGCAAAAUGUGGGCUCAAAUACGGCCUUCUCAAAUAUAAGCGAUAUAACAUCCUUCAAAAUAUCAGCGGAUGUAAUUCCUGAGUCAAUCAGUUGACCUUUGAGUAUGUCAAACUUUUCUGGAGUCAAUUUAUUCAGUAUACCUUUAACUGUCUUCAAAACUCGUUCCUUAUCUGAGAUAUUACCUCUUCUAACUGACCAAGGAACUUCAGCCUUGAUGAGAG
rnacentral:misc_RNA from 1 species